rnacentral:lncRNA from 1 species
AGGAACGUCCUUGACUGCAGGGACAUCUGGCCAUUUCGGAUCUCAUGGGUCCGAUUCGAGCUCGAGCAGUAGUAGUACUACUACCGCAGCUGCAUCAACUUCUUCAGCCUAUAGUUCAGUCGCAAAAAGACCCGACCCGCAUGGGAAACGGCCAAUGUCUAGCUGAAACGUUGGUAAUGUUAGAUUAGCUGACUUGUGGUACACGGUUAGAGGAAGGGUAAAUUAGGUAGAUCAAAUUUCUUCUUUUGAUUACCAGAUUGUAUAGUACACACAGUUCUGAAUCAAUUCUUUGAUAAGUUGUGUAGAAAGGAGAAAUCUUGUUCCAAAUAGCUGAAUGAACGGAAAGUGGGAGUUGGCAAGAGCGGUUAAUAACUGAUCAUAAUCAAUAGGUUAAUUAGAAUUGUAUAAAAACAUAGGUUAACUGAUUAAUCGACCAACCUACAAGCAGAUUAUCUGUUAAAUAACUACCAUUUUGGUCAUCAAUUUAUUGGGUUUGCGACAACUUGAUCAUAUUACCAACCAUUUCAACCAUAACAACAAGGUCAAUCAAUCAAUUCUCCGUCCAAAAUCUCUUUUAAGGUGAUAGAUCCCCAUGUCGUCAAUUCAAUAUUUAUGUCCACGUCACGUUACACCUUUCUUAAUAGAAAUAUCCACGUCACACUUUACCAUGUCAACUAUUCUAUCCUAAACCCAACCUAUUUUAAUCGGUUUGAAUUGGCUUGUUUCAAAUCAGUCAGGUUAAGUUAGAUUGGUUGAUGUGGAUAGAAAUGAUGAAUUUUCACAGUGAAACGUCGACUUAAUGAAAAAAUUGGAUGGAAGUGUAAGCAAAUAACCAUGUUGUUAGAAUUAAGAUAGUUUAGUGGUAUGUAGGUUGCAUUGCUAAACAUUGAGGAGCAUAUUGUCUGAACUCAAUAGAUUGAUGAUCACAACGGAUAGAAAUUGAAGAGGGAAUAUUUUUUAAAAAUGCCAUUUCCAGGUUCCGCCACGUGUCUCGGAGCUAUCUGUCUGUUUUUAUUUUUCUGCCUUCACCUUUGUUUUCUGGAUCUAAUU